rnacentral:rRNA from 1 species
AGGAUUCUCUUAGUAACGGCGGAGUGAACAGAGAACAGCCCAGUACCGAAGCCUAUCUACGUUUGUGGACAAGGCAAUGUGGUAUUAAGAUGUUUGCCUGGGGUUGUCGGUCUAUUCCAAGUCCAGCAUAGAUUAUGGCUCUGGAUUUUGUCCAAAGCGGGUGAAAGACCCGUAGGGAUAGACUGUUCGGUAUGUCAGACAGCCCUCAGAUGCAUUCAUCGUGGAGUCGGAUAGCUUGAGAAUGCUGUCCAAAGUGGGUGGUAAACUCCAUCCAAGGCUAAAUAUUUGCACGAGUCCGAUAGCCAACAAGUACCGUGAGGGAAAGUUGAAAAGUACUCUGAAGAGAGAGUAAAUAGUACGUGAAGCCAUGCGUAGGGAAGCUGGUGGAGUCAAGCUGCAUGCCUCUGGAAUGAAGCCUGUGACUAUUGUGUGCUUGGUGGGGUGGUUGGUCGACUGGCUUGUAAGAAGUCAGGCAGAUUUAUCUGUUUCCGGUGAGCACUGGUUAGUGUGACGGAGUCGGCUGACUUGUUCCUCAUGUCGCAGGCGUACUUUCCUUAGGCAGACAUCACGAUCGACAAUGUUGUUGGCGUCUGGUAGUCAAACCGUCAGGUGUUGGGUUCUGAAUCCACGCCUGGCGGGGCGGCAGUUGGCUUGCUGGUCGACUCUGUUGCCCAGUGAGUUCUUUGUGGUUAUGGCCAGCCGACUACCAUUGUGUUAUGCUUUCAGCUAUACAACUUGUCGUUGCUCAGUGAUGCUUAGUGCUUUUGCUGGUUAUCCUGCCGACUGCGUAGGUGUGUUUCCGUUUCACACGGUGCAUGCUUGCUGCUGGUCGGUGGGGUGGAUUGCUGCUGGUUGCUAGGCUUUGAAAUCGUGUUGUUGUGGUAGA